CGAGGUGGCUGGACGGUCGCUGUGCUGUUUAUGCAGUUGCAGAGGAAAGUCCGAACUCCGUAGGGCAGAAUGCCGGUUAACAACCGGGCGUCGCGAGGCGACGGAAAGUGCAACAGAGAAAAGACCGCCGAUGGUUAGUCAAAUGACUGACACAGGCAAGGGUGAAACGGUGAGGUAAGAGCUCACCGCGUCCUCCGGUAACGGAGACGGCAUGGUAAACCCCAUUCGGAGCAAUGCCAAAUAGGCAGGGAUCAGUCAGCUGACUGACCGGGUCUGCCCGUCCCGGUUGACCUGUGGGUAGGCUGCAUGAGCUUCGCUGCAAAGCGGAGCCAAGAUAGAUGACCGUACAAUCCCGCCUCGGCGGGAUGGACAGAAUUCGGCUUAUAAGCCGCCUCAUUCU
rnacentral:RNase_P_RNA from 1 species